AGCACGAGUAAUUUUUGGUUGAGAAGUUGACACUGCUCCGCCAUGCAGCACGGCUGAAUAACCGAUAUUAAGGUAAAAACUAAGGAGCUUGUCAAGUGUUUAUAUUUCAAAACAGAAGCUCCCGCAGAUGUUCAUUUCGCGUCCCACAACGGAUACUAUCUGAACCGUUUCUCUCUCGCUCUGGUGAGGCUCCGCCAUUUUUAUUCCUGUAUAUGUAGCCGGCUCCCUUUAAGGAUGACCAGCGGUGCCCUCUUCUGGUUGGAGGCCAAACUACAACAAUAAAAGACCGUCUAAACGUCUAAUAAACCAUUAAUCGACAUCUAAUCGCGGUCCCACUGACAAUCACAUGGCGAUGGAGGCUACUAAUGGCAACGCUGAGCUAGCUGUGUGUGGAGGGGUUGAUGGGAGGCGAACAGCAGGACUGCUAAGCGCCAGCCCUACAGUACAGCACAGAGAGAGCUCCGGCAGGGUUCUGGCAGCCGAGAUGUCAGGCGGCUCCGCACUGAGGCCGACACGUUGCCUCCUGAACGAGAGGAGCCAAGUCUGGUCUCGACAACAGCUGCGAGGGGUCGGCGGGCCUCGGCGGAGCAGCGCCGUUGGUUCCAGCCGUGUCACGCCUUAUAACACGACACAUCUGUCAGCGCCUCGCAAUGAAACCCGACUCGCUCACUUACAACCGCAGCGGUGUACCAGGAUUUAAUACGGUACAGUAGAGCACCGACGCUAGAGGUGAAGUCUAGCGAGCUGUUUAUCCUAAUCGAGGAUGAGCCGGGACCUGUUUCUGCAACGCAGCGAGUGUGUAAAAUUGAAUCGGACGGACGUGUGGCCGUGAAAUGAGUGUGGAUUCGUCCGUAGCUGGAGUCUAAUUGGCUGAGUCAUGCUGCUGUCAGACACCUGAUGAAUGUGCACCUUUGACCCAAUGGGAGUUCAUAAAAAUCUUACUUCAUUAAAUCCCAAUUAUCAUUCAUUUCAGCCGUUAUUUAAUAUUUGGAAACUAAAUUAGAAGUUGCAAGAUGACUGCCGUAUCUUUUCCGAAGCAUGUGU